AGCGAGCGCUGGCGGCAGGCUUAACACAUGCAAGUCGAACGCCCCGCAAGGGGCGUGGCAGACGGGUUAGUAACACGUGGGAACGUACCCUUUGGUUCGGAAUAACUUGGGGAAACUCAAGCUAAUACCGUAUCAGCCCUUAUGGGGAAAGGUUUACUGCCGAAGGAUCGGCCCGCGUCUGAUUAGCUAGUUGGUGAGGUAAUGGCUCACCAAGGCGACGAUCAGUAGCUGGUCUGAGAGGAUGAUCAGCCACACUGGGACUGAGACACGGCCCAGACUCCUACGGGAGGCAGCAGUGGGGAAUAUUGGACAAUGGGGGCAACCCUGAUCCAGCCAUGCCGCGUGAGUGAUGAAGGCCUUAGGGUUGUAAAGCUCUUUUACCCGGGACGAUAAUGACUGUACCGGGAGAAUAAGCCCCGGCUAACUUCGUGCCAGCCGCCGCCGUAA
rnacentral:rRNA from 1 species